rnacentral:lncRNA from 1 species
GCCGGUGGGAGAACCUGGAUAGCUGAUUUCAUUCUUGCUACUUGCUGGUCAUAAAGGAGACGCUUACCGAUUUCUUUAAGGAGAGGAGUUGGAGAUGAGUGAGCUCUCAGAGUUUCUCACGAGAAGAAGUAACGUGAGUCACGCUAACCCACGUGUUCCUCACAGUGCCAGCGUGGUCGUGUAGGCCUGGGAUGCAACUGCGCCACUUCGUAAUCGCAGUCAAGCGCAUCACGGCCUUCCGGUGUGUAAUGCUUUACGGUACGACAUGGUUGUUCAGAUUUCAGCCCGCAUUAUUACUGCAAAGUGGGUUCUUAAAAUUACUUUCACGUGUUUAUUUUGUGAAUGAUGACCCAUAUUCAACUCAAGUGGGCCUUUGGAGCACAAUGCUUUGCACUUUGGAUUCUACAGAAAUUGAUCUCUGAGAGAUUAAAUCAUCUCCGCUUAGACAAAAUAGACCACAUUUUCUAUACUUCAUGCCUUUGACGGGUUGCUGACAACUGUAAGAACUGAACAGGCUUCUAACUUUGAAAUGCUCUCCUCACACUGGCUCCACGCAGCGCAGCUCUUUGAAAUGCACUCAUGUCUUUGAUCUGGUCUAUCUUCACGUUUCCCUGUUUCUUUUUCUUUUCCCACAUGGGGAUAAUGUCUCAGUAAGGUUUUCAUACUUUUAUGUGAUAUCUUUUUUCAAAAUAUACACCCAAAGAUUGUAUGCUUAUUAUCUAAAUUAGCACUUCCCUGAUGGUGACUAUAACCUUCAUUUUCAACCCCCAAAUAUAAAUGUAUUCAUUCAUCUGGUUUGCAGAUCUACAAUGCCUUUCCUUUGAGCUCAGGUGUAACAGAUGAGCAGUGCCUCCUCCUUAAAGUCGCAGAUCGAGAUCCACAGAAUCUUUUCCUCAGGGCUUUUAAACUUUAAUAAUUUCAAACUCUUUCCUUUCUUAGCUGGAUCUAAGGGGUUAGCAGCCUCAUAUGUGUAACUGCUACUACAGUACCUUAGUGUUUGUGUUUGCUCUAGUGGUUCUCCAAUAAUCUUAGCAAUCUCUUUUAUUAAAGUACGCCUG